rnacentral:rRNA from 1 species
UACGUAGGGGGCAAGCGUUGUCCGGAAUUAUUGGGCGUAAAGAGCGUGUAGGCGGCCAGAUAGGUCUGCUGUGAAAACUCGAGGCUCAACCUCGAGAUGUCGGCGGAAACCAUUUGGCUAGAGUCCGGAAGAGGAAAGUGGAAUUCCUGGUGUAGCGGUGAAAUGCGCAGAUAUCAGGAAGAACACCCGUGGCGAAGGCGGCUUUCUGGGACGGUACUGACGCUGAGACGCGAAAGCGUGGGGAGCGAACAGG